AGGACGAACGCUGGCGGCGUGCUUAACACAUGCAAGUCACGGGGGCCCGCAAGGGUAACCGGCGAACGGGUGCGUAACACGUGAGCAACCUGCCUUUGUGUGGGGGAUAGCCGGGCUAACGCCCGGGUAAUACCGCAUACGGUUGCCGAGGGGAGUCCCUUGGCAAAGAAACCUCCGGGCACAGAGAGGGGCUCGCGGCCUAUCAGCUAGUUGGCGGGUAACGCUCACCAAGGCGACGACGGUAGCUGGUCUGAGAGGAUGGCCAGCCACAUU
rnacentral:rRNA from 1 species